GGGCGAUUAGCUCAGUUGGUAGAGCAGCUGACUCUUAAUCAGCGGGUCGACGGUUCGAGCCCGUCAUCGCCCACCA
rnacentral:tRNA from 1 species